CCGGCGCCCCCUCACCCAGAGUGGGGCAGCCCCGGCCACCGGGCUUUCGAUCUCUACCGAGCUUAGACUGAAGUGUCGCCGCUACCACGGGCACAGGUCAAGUUGACCGCAGUCUAGAGGCUCACCAUUGCAUCGGUACUGGAGAUUGGACCAAAUGAUGUUUUCUUGGGAGAAGCAGAAUACGCCGAGACGCCCCCCUCGCAUGGACGUGUCAAUAAUCACCCCAGAAUCCGCCACUAGCUGGGGACCCUCAUAGAGCUUCACCCUGUUGGGAACAGAGGUAUCAUUGGUGCUAAGGUGCCAGUGAGCACUGUGCCACUGUCCUGGGGUCUCCUGCACCCCUCCCCUGGGGCUCUCUAGUCCUGAGGGAAGGGAGGGAAGGCUGGAAGGGGAGGAGAGGUGCUUUUUCUCAGGCCUCGGGCCCCUAGCUCUUUGUCCAGCCCCUUUUGCAUCUCAAAGCACCAGCACAUUCCUAGCAAGGAUUGGGUUGCUAUGGCAAUGAGCACAAAAGGCUGGGGGUGAAGUCACCCGCUUCCCAGGCUCUAGUCCACCACCCCUCAUUUAUCCUCUGCCCUGGCGCCCCACUGCUCUAGGUACCUUAAAGAGGAACCAGCUCAGCCCUGCGCUUCAGCUUCAAGGCUGCUGGCCACAGGAAGCCCCGCUUCUAAGCAGACCCCUUCCCUUCCCUUCCCUUCCCCAGGCACUGGCACCAACUGGGGACACUUGGAGGGAAAAAUCAAACCAGAGAGGCCUGCAAACUCUAGGUCUCAAUCUGCUCUUCUAUACAUCAUGGUCCCUUUCCAACGUCCGAUGCUGCGGGAGCAGGUUCUGGACACUUAGGGGCUGGAAGGGACAGGUUCUUCCACAGACUGCCCUGGUCUAGAGGCUCCCAGAGCGCUGAAGGGCAUCUAGCUCAACACCCUGGAUCUAGAGGGGAAAUUGGAUGCAAAGGAAAGGUGUUCCUGAUACCACCUCCUCCGUGUUGGGAAGGGAAACUGGAAGGAACUGGCUGCAAGCCCUACCAGAGACAGUAAAGAAGUGAGCAGAGCGAAGGCCACAGUCCCCAAGUCCCUGCUAGCUAGAGGGGACAGGAGGCUGAGUUUUGCCCCUGCCCCCUCUCCAGGGCUCAAGCCUUUUCCCUUACCGAAUGUAGCCAACUUGGGGCCGGUGGAGCAGCCGCCAUCUAUAGGAUGUCUUGUCUCGCCAACCCACAUUCCGUGGGUCAGUCCACAGCAGUCGUACCUGAUCAGGGGUGUGGCCAGUAUGCCACAGAGCAUUCCGGAGGUGCUCACCUGGGCCAGAUAUGGAUGUCACUGCCUGGGAGUCAUUGACAAAGAUAGUGCGUCAAUCACAGGACCAGGGUGAAGGGAGACAAAAGACAGGACGAGCUGGCGAGAAAGGAAGUCAGAGGGAAGAGGAAGGAAUUCUCUGGAAUUCCACACAGUUGAACUCCAGAGCACAUGUCUGGGUAGGGAAGCUCAGAGACAGUGGGGGCCCUGAGGUCGGGCAAGAACAGCUUUAGGAAAGUCACUGGGGUGGGGAAAGUGGGCAGCUGGGGAUACCUUGAGCUGAAGCCCUGGUUGGGCCACUGCUCGGAAAGGCGUGGCCUGCCAGUAGGUCUGCUCCGUCUGUUUCCACAUGACCACAUAGAAGCGGCCACUGUCCUGGUAACUGAAGAGGAAGCCCGCAUAGUCAUCAUCAGUGACUGUGUUCACGUGGAAGGUGCCUUCAAAGUCCACGCCAUUAAAGGCCGUGUACCCUGGAGUGGGAACAGGAGGAGUGUUAGGGGCAGUACAGCUGCCAGGCGGCCUACUGUGGGUGGGUGUGGGCGGGCGCAGAGAUGCCUGCUGCAUACAGGACUAGGAAGGCCCUGCAAAUGCUCCAUCUACCCUCCACAGGAGCCUUCCCUUUGGAAACGACUGAGCCGGGUGUCCUUUACAUACCAACUGCAAGACCCGGGUCACUGUUCAUAGUCUGAACAAUUUCCAUGCCCUGGGGUUGAUAAAGGAAGAGAAAAAGCCCUGAUCCAGGUGCACAGUGACACCCCAGGUCCCAACAGGCAGCCAGGUCUGACAGCGCCUGCCCAGCCUACUGCCCCGCAUACCUGGUUGAGCACUACCCAGUUUGGAUCGAUCUGGGCGUCACCCUCGGGAUCCAGGAUCACAGUCUGAUAGGCCCGGAAGUCUGUGAGGGUAACUUCUGCACUCUCCGGGCACACAUCCAGAGGGUCAACCACUGCGUCAUUGUCAAAGUCAUCUUCACAGACAUCACCCACACCGUUGCCUGCAAAGAGCGACUGUCACCGCCCGGUUCUUCCUGAGUCCUCCCUACCCUUCCAUCCUCCACUCCCUCCAGUAGGCCUGUCUCCUGAGCAAAACCUGAUCAGCUUAAGCAUCUCCGGGACUCCAGUCUUACCAUCUGAGUCCUUCUGAUUAGGAUUGGGUACCAGGCGACAGUUAUCAGGCCCGGGAGGAAUGUAAUCUGGGACACCGUCAUUGUCAUCGUCCCCGUCACACUCAUCUCCAAGCCCGUCAUUGUCUGAGUCCAGCUGAGAGCUAUUUGGCAGCUGAGGACAGUUGUCCUUGGUGUCCUGGUGCCCGUCUCCGUCGCUGCUCAGAAGAAAAUGAACAGAUCCCAGCUGAGAGGGCGGGCUCCAUCUUUUCCUUCUGUGUGCUCUCUGGGGCCUGCCUACCCUCUAACUUGGUUCCCUUGCCAUCAUUCAGGGGAGAUGGCCAUCCAGCAGUGGGAAUGGAGGGUAGACAGUGAGAAUGACUUCCUGCUUAGCAGGGGUGGUGAGUUAAGCUUACAUUACAGAGACAACUGAAAAUGAGGAGAGGAAAAAAAAUAUCCCUGGGAGACCCUGGAUGUCUCGGCCCAGA